UUUAUUACGUUAUUGCUGUCAUAAACCCUUAUCUAAAAAUUACGCGAGGUAUACGAGAGUCAUUUUAAUGCCACGAACUACCAAAUGGCUAAAAAGUAAUUUGCACAAUAAGCAACUGAAUGUCACGCGCUAUGUCGCUCGUGAAAUCAAUUAAUUUUCACUUUAAAGAUGCUUUCUGCGGAUAUAAAACCCAAAUGUUCCUUGAAUCAAGUUAAAUUUUAAAGAUCUAGUGUCAUAUUAGGUUUUACAGAGCAUUGAAAAGUGAGUUUAUAUUAUAAAUAUAUAUUUGUUACUUUUUUAUAAAGGAAUGCAAAGGCCUGUUUCUGUUCCACCACAUAUAUACAUACGUACUACAACAAAUACUAACUAAUCCUUUAAAUCAUCGCGCCACCAACCACGGUUAAAGACGUGGAUUAUAUUUCAUCAAAAAAAAUAUUAAUAUAAAUUCUGAAAGCGAUUUACAGAACAUGUAAAAUAAUUACAAGCACAAGGGACCUUGUAACUUAACUCUAGCAACACCUAUGUAAUUUAAAUCUUGCUAGUAAACUAAACUUAUUUGCCUGAUAAGACAAUGUCAACCAACGCGAAAGCGAUUACCAAGAUGUCAUCAAGAAUACCAUAUACAUCUCUAGUGCUAUUAAUGGUAGCUCUGAUACUGCUUGACAUAAUUUUUGUGUCAGCAAGACCGAAUGGGUGUGUAAGUUACAGAAGGAAAAAAGACAAAUCUGGAAAGUACAUCUGUUUUGAAGUGCCUAAAAGUCCUUAUGCAUACUACUAUUAUUAUCCACAUUAUAACUACUACCCAUAUUAUUUUUACUACCCAUAUUACUAUGGCUAAUAAAUGAUGUAAAUUUU